ensembl:lncRNA
AAAGACCAGAACACCCUAAAACAGCCUAGAAAUCACUUUGAACAUUGUAACAACCACCUAGAACACCAAAGCAAUUGCAUAGAUGCACCCUAGCAACUACCUACAACAAUCUACUGUAGCAAAGACCAAGAGCAUACUAGCAACUACAUAGAAAUGCCCUAGCAACUACCUAAAACACAAACAUACACCAAGAGCAUCCUAACAAAUACAUAUCAAUGCCCUAGUAACUACCUACAACAAUCUACUAUAGCAAAGACCAGAACACCCUAAAACAGCCUAGAAAUCACUUUGAACAUUGUAACAACCACCUAGAACACCAAAGCAAUUGCAUAGAUGCACCCUAGCAACUACCUACAACAAUCUACUGUAGCAAAGACCAAGAGCAUACUAGCAACUACAUAGAAAUGCCCUAGCAACUACCUAAAACACAAACAUACACCAAGAGCAUCCUAACAAAUACAUAUCAAUGCCCUAGUAACUACCUACAACAAUCUACUAUAGCAAAGACCAAGACACAAGAGCAUCCUAGCAACUGCAUAGAAACGCCUUGGCAACUACCUAAAAUACUAACAAACACCAAGAGCAUCAUAGAAACAGCCUAGAAACCACUUUGAACAUCUUAGUAACCAUCCAAAACACUGUGGCAAGUUAGCAACUGCAUAGAAACACCAUAGCAACUAACUAAAACAACCUACUGUAGCAAAGACCAUGAACAGCCUAGAAACAGCCUAGAAACCACUUUGAACAUCAUAGCAACCACCCUAAACACCAUAGAAACUAUAUGGAAAUGCCCUAGCAAUUACUGUACCUACAACAAUCUACUGUAGCAAAGACCAAGAGCAUCCUAGCAACGGCAUAGAAAUGCCCUAGCAACCACCUUAAACACAAACAAACACCAAGAGCAUCCUAGCAAAGGCUCAGAAACCACUUGCUACAAUGUAGCAAUCACUAAGAACAUCAUAGCAACUGCCUAGAUACGUCCUAGCACCACUAGGAACAUUAUAACCACCCAGAAUGCUAUGGAAACCACCUAAAAUACCCUAGCAACACCAGAGCAAACCUAGUCUGCCUGUAAUGACCUUCAACUUUUGUCAAGCUAACUAUCUCUUUGAGUUCAAGUUCAGAUACUUGUAAGCAUGUACUGAUGUGAAAAUGAGCAUUUAAUGUUCAGCCAAGAAGAGAAACAGUGGAAUUGUUGUCCCUAAUUGGUUAAUGUCUAUUUUUCAAACCCACCCAAUUUGAACUUUGGUAGAGAGAGGAAGAUGAAGGUCCUACGCCAAUUCUCACACGAGUAUGAAUGAAAGCUAUAGUGUCUAGUGUGGCCGCCCCUCGAACGGAUGAAAUAUUGACUCAUUGACUCCUACAGAUGGGUCACACGGAGGUCAGGGUUUGCUUAGGUUGAAUCUGUGCCUUGGGCCUGGUCUUGAAGCUCCGCUAACAGCUCGGCCCUCCGUUCUGCACCUCCACUGCCGCAUCACGGAGCAAGUAGAGCUGAAACUCAAUGCUGUGCAUUAGGGCCAAGAGACCCCCAGAACAAGCACUUUCCUCUUCAGUGACGCCUCAAGGGCAUCGGCUGACCUUUUUCCGCUUUGUCUGCAUCUGAGGGUCUUUGUCUCCACUCCUGAAGCUAUGGGCUAACAGUGCUGGGACAAUAAAAUAAAAAAAAAUAAAAAAGCUCCAGUGAAUCUCCAACAUGGAAGACAGUGGAUAUCCACAGUGUUUGUGCUCAGCAAACAUUCUGGUGUGUAUUUAUUUUAACCUCUUUUUCCUCGGUAUUAAACUGCCAUUAAUUCAUACCAUUUAUACUUUAUUUUCUAGAUCUUUUCAGUCUUGAGAGUGCUUCUGUUUUUGGGUUUUGUAACAUUUAUACUUUUUAAGAUAAUUAAGAUUGAAGUUUGAAAUUGCUCUUUUGACUUUGUUCGCCAUUGAAAAUGAAUGUGUUGAUGUCAAACUGAAUAGCAGUUGAUCUUUGUUAUUUUUUUAAUUUGCGUACUGAAUUAUUAUUGGUGUAAGAUUGUGUUAUUGACUGGGUUGUUGAGUGAAAUAUUGAGUUAUGUUGUUCAACUGAUUAAAGAGUGGGUACACUAGAUAAUAAGCAUGCAAAAUUAUUACAGAAAUAUUUUAGAAGGAAUAUGGGCAACAGGAUGUGAUGUCAUGGUCCAGUGCUUUUGUUUUUAAAAAUAAAUAAAUUAUAAAUAAUAUUAAUAAAUUUGAAAUGUUAUAAUAUCAUUUGCUUCAUCUUGCCUAUGUACAUAUUGAAUUGUUUUUGUUUCAUGCAUCUCUAUAUUAGGUUUUUUGAAAUAAGUCUCUUCUGCUCACCAAGGCUGCAUUUAUUUGAUCAGAAAAACAGUAAAAUUGUGAAAUAUUAUUGCGAUUUAAAACAGCUGUUUUCUAUUUGAAUAUCUGUUAAAACGUAAUUUAUUCCUG